GUCUAGUAUGAACGGGUAAACGAACACUUUUCUGUCUCAGCUAAUCUAGUAAAAAUUAUCCUUUAUGUGAAAAGACAUAAAUAUUAUUACAGGACAAGAAGACCCUAUAGAGCUUUAUUUCAAUUGUUUUCCCUUUCUGAAAAACAAAUAAAAAUUAGAUGGGGCGUCUCGAGAAGCCUACAAAUUAUCCUCUCUAUUCUAAGAAAGAUUUACAAAUCUCCCCUAGCUAUAUCCUCAAUAAAAAAAAAAAAAAAAAAAAUUGACUUACGAUUCUAGUUACCUUAGGGAUAACAG
rnacentral:rRNA from 1 species